GGCAGAAAUAGAACUUUCUGACCAAUGGAAUGCUUUAUAAAGGGAAAACUCCCCCAACAUGGCAUGCUGGGUGAGCUGAAUUGACACACAAAAAGUAUUGCUAACACAGAUAGAUGAUUCUGACACAGACAGCACUAAGUGAUAAUCAGCAAACUUAACAUGUGUAAAUAUUUGUAUGAACAUAACAAGAUUCAACAACUGAGACAAACUGAACAAGUUCCACAGACAUGACUAACAGAAAUGGAAUAGUGUGUCCCUGAACAAAGGGGGGGUCAAAAUCAAAAGUAACAGUCAGUAUCUGGUGUGGCCACCAGCUGCAUUAAGUACUGCAGUGCAUCAUGGACUGCACCAGAUUUGCCAUUUCUUGCUGUGAAAUGUUACCCCUCUCUUCCACCAAGACACCUGCAAGUUCCCAGACAUUUCUGGGGGGAAUGGCCCUAGCCCUCACCCUCCAAUCCAACAGGUCCCAGAUGUGCUCAAUGGCAUUGAGAUCCGGGCUCUUUGCUGGCAGAACACUGACAUUCCUGUCUUGCAGGAAAUCACGCACAGAACGAGCAGUAUGGCUGGUGGCAUUGUCAUGCUGGAGGGUCAUGUCAGGAUGAGCCUGCAGGAAGGGUACCACAUGAGGGAGGAGGAUGUCUUCCUUGUAACGCACAGCUUUGAGAUUGCCUGCAAUGAUAACAAGCUCAGUCCAAUGAUGCUGUGACACACCGCCCCAGACCAUGACGGACCCUCCACCUCCAAAUUGAUCACGCUCCAGAGUACAGGCCUCGGUGUAAUGCUCAUUCCUUCGACGAUAAACACAAAUCCGACCAUCCCGCCUGGUGACACAAAACCGCGACUCGUCAGUGAAGAGCACUUUUUGCCAGUCCUGUCUGGUCCAGCGACGGUAGGUUUGUGUCCAUAGGCGACGUUGUUGCCGGUGAUGUCUGGUGAGGACCUGCCUACAAGCCCUGUCCAGCCUCUCAGCCUAUUGCGGACAGUCUGAGCACUGAUGGAAGGAUUGUGCAUUCCUGGUGUAACUUGGGCAGUUGUUGUUGCCAUUCUGUUCCUGUCCCGCAGGUGUGAUGUUCGGAUGUACUGAUCCUGUGCAAGCGUCUCACAGUACGGAUGUUGCAAUUUAUUGCCCUGGCCACAUCUGCAGUCCUCAUGCCUCCUUGCAGCAUGCCUAAGGCACGUUCAAGAGGAUGAGCAGGGACCCUGGGCAUUUUUCUUUUGGUGUUUUUCAGAGUCAGUAGAAAGGCCUCUUUAGUGUCCUAAGUUUUCAUAGCUGUGACGUUAAUUGCCUACCAUCUGUAAGCUGUUAGUGUCUUAACGAUCGUUCCACAGGUGCAUGUUAAUUAAUUGUUUAUGGUUCAUUGAAAAGCACGGGAAACCGUGUUCAAAGCCUUUACAAUGAAGAUCUGUGAGGUUAUUUGGAUUUUUACGAAUUAUCUUUGAAAGACAGGGUCCUGAAAAUGGGACGUUUCUUUUUUUGCUGAGUUUAUAUGUUUAUAUCUGUUUACUCUAAUGGUUUUACC
ensembl:lncRNA